rnacentral:lncRNA from 1 species
CAGCACUCAGCCGUCGGGGAAGAAACUGAGGCAGAGGUGGAGCCAGCAGUCCGUCAGGCUGAAGAUGGAAACAUCGAAUACAAACUGAAGCUGGUGAACCCAUCUCAGUACCGCUUUGAGCACUUGGUGACGCAAAUGAAGUGGCGGCUCCAGGAGGGACGCGGUGAGGCUGUCUACCAGAUUGGGGUAGAGGACAAUGGGCUGCUGGUGGGGCUGGCUGAGGAGGAGAUGCGGGCUUCCCUCAAGACCCUGCACCGGAUGGCAGAGAAGGUUGGGGCAGACAUCACUGUUCUUCGGGAGCGAGAGGUGGAUUAUGACAGCGACAUGCCCCGGAAGAUCACGGAGGUGCUUGUCCGAAAGGUCCCCGACAACCAACAGUUCCUCGAUCUCCGUGUGGCCGUCCUAGGGAAUGUGGACUCCGGGAAGUCAACCUUGCUUGGAGUCCUGACCCAAGGAGAGCUAGACAACGGGCGGGGCCGGGCCCGACUCAACCUUUUCCGCCACCUGCAUGAGAUUCAGUCUGGACGAACCUCCAGCAUCAGCUUUGAGAUCCUGGGCUUUAACAGCAAGGGAGAGGUGGUGAAUUACAGCGACUCACGGACUGCAGAAGAGAUCUGCGAGAGCAGCUCCAAGAUGAUCACCUUCAUCGACCUGGCGGGCCACCAUAAAUACCUGCACACCACCAUCUUUGGCCUCACCUCCUACUGCCCCGACUGUGCCCUGCUCCUCGUCAGUGCCAACACUGGAA